GGCUACAAUGUUCAUUUACCAAAUAAUUGGCCGAGUCCCUGGAGUGACGGAAUUAUACCAUUUACCUUUAAUUAUUUUUCAUUAAGUCCAAGACGUCUUAUAAGCGUUGUGAGAAAAGGCUUAGACCAUAUCCAAGAGCGGUCAUGUCUCAGGUUUAUCGAACGAGACCCGAUGGAGGUAUCAAGAAUAAUAAACUUUACGUAUCUUUUCUUUAGUUACUCAGAUGCUUUGGAAAGUUGUUGCCUUGAAUACUUCACAAUGGCUUACGGAAGAAGGCUCACACUCAUAACGCCGAGGUGUAUGAUGCCAGCAGAAGUAGCUCAUGCAACCCUGCACGCGAUGGGC